CCUCUAUUGCUUUGAGUCUUUCCUUUAAGCUCCUAUACUUCUCUUGAGCCUCAUGAUCGCCCGUUCUCAACCUGGCUAUUUCUGCUGGAUUGUCCAAAUCUGGAACAAUUGGAUUGGCUGGAUUAGCCCCAGAAUUUGAUAUGAAUAUUCUUUACCCUAAAUGAGUACGUGGCACCGGCCGUUGCUCUGGGUUUGUGGGUUUUCCU
rnacentral:lncRNA from 1 species